rnacentral:lncRNA from 1 species
UCUCUCACUCUCUCUUUUUCUUUCUUUCUUUCCUUCUUUCCCUCCCUCCCUUUCUCUCCAUUUCUCUGUCUCUACUAUCACCUCAACUCUCCUCCCCAUGCCCUAAAUAAACUCUAUUCUAAACUUAAAAUAAAUAAAUGAACAAACAAACAAACGGACCUUAUAAGAAGUAGAAAAGUGACCCUUUCCUCACCGCUGUACUGAAUCUGUGGCUCUUACACUCUUUCCACACCCUCUUCCUCUUCCUUGAUGUUCCCUGAGCCUUAGGCCUAGGCUCAUUUUGAGUUAUGUCGACUGGAACUGAACCCACCACUCUCAGUUCUUUACAGGUUGACAAGCUUCCCCUCUCUCCUCUACUCCAAGUUCCUCCUGCCCCCUUCUUUACUGCUAUCCACUCCUCCCUCCCGUUCUCUUCAGAAAAAGGCAAACCACCCAUAGGUAUCAAACAGCCAUAGCAUAUUAAAUUGCAAUAAAACCUGGAAGGCCAGGAACCAGAGGCUGGAUUACCCAAAGACCUAGGAUAGAAACACAUGACUAGAGAGAGGGAGCGAGAGAGACAGAGAGAGAGAGAAAGAAAUGUUGAUAACCUGCUAUACUCAUAGAUUGGUACCUAGCCCAAUUGUCAUCAGAGAGACUUCACCCAAGAACUGUUGGAAACAGAUGUAGAGAUCCACAGUCAAACAUUAGGCAGAACUUGGGGAAUCCUGCAGAAGUUGGAAAGGAAGGAAUGUAGUAGCCAGAAGGGUCCAGGGCACUAUAAGAAAACCCACAGUGAUCAACUAACCUGGGCUCACAGGGGCUUAUAGAGACUCAUCGACCACUGGGGAGAACACAUGGAACUGACCUAUACCCUCUACACAUAUGUUAAACUUCAGUAGAAGACUAGCAUAGCUAACAAUAGAAGAGGCUAUCUCUGACUCUGUUGCCUACCUUUGGGACUCAUUCCUCCUCCAGGGUUGUCUCAUCUCACCUGAAUAAGAGAGAAGGUGCCUAGUCUUACAUUAUUUUCUUAGUAAUGCAAAGAACAAAACAGUCCAUAAAUACCAUACCCUAAUAUUUGUCCAGGCUUUAAGAAAUAAAGCAAUUUCAAUGAUUAAUUAUGAAUGAGUAUGCUGUUUAUACAUUGUUUUCCUCAUGUUCUGAUACUUUGGCUCAUUUGAGUAAGGACCAUGUUCUGAGAGUUUACAUAAUUUUAAUACUGCAUAUGGUGAAAUUUUUAACCUGCAAGCUAAGUACAUGAAGUUAGGACCUUUGAGACAUGAUUAAGUUAUUUGAACAGAGCCCUCAUCUACAUAAAAGAGAAGCAGGCAUAUGCCUGACCCUUCUCUUUGUAAGGAUACAUCUAUAUAGCACCCUGUGAACUGAGAGGAUAGCCCUCCUAAGACAUUCAACCUUCCUGUGCUUUACCUUGGACUUGGCACCUUACAAAUGAAUGU